GUGCUCAGUUUGGUAGCACAUGUACUAAAAUUGUAACAACACAGGGAAGAUUAUCAUGGCCCUUGUACAAGGAAGACAUGCAAAUUCAUAGUGUUCCAUCUUUAA
ensembl:snRNA U6 U6 spliceosomal RNA